GGGCCCGUAGCUCAGCCAGGAUAGAGCGGCGGCCUCCUAAGCCGUAGGUCGUGGGUUCGAAUCCCACCGGGCCCGCCA
rnacentral:tRNA from 3 species